UGAGUGCGGAUUUGGUCCUUGGAAAUGCUGCAGGAUCCUGAGACCUGGGCAGUUUAGAAGGACUUGGUGGGUGACUCCCAGGAGCCCGCACUCGGAGCAGGAAAUGGCAGAUUUUUCAUUUUCCUGAUCUUUCUCAUGAACUACACCCAAAGGAUGUGACCCUCAUUUCACACAUUCUCCUUUUCGUACCAGAAACACCACCCAAAUUUCAGGAUCAAGAAAAAAGAUGGGAGACGAAUUGAUCAUCAGAAAAGAAAAGGCCUGGCUGGAGAAGAGGAAGCUCCACAGCAAAGGGCUUUGCCAAGCGACCCCGCCAGGCCCAGCGCACACAUCAGACUGGAGCAGAGUUUCGGUGGCCGGAGUUUGUCUGACCCACGGAGCACCCUGGGUCAAGCCUGGCUUUGUGCACCUUUCCCUGUGUAGCCUGAGGGAAGACCCUUUCUCUCAGGGGUCCUCAGCUCCCUCAUUGAUAAAAAGGUGGGAUAAGUUAGAGACUGCCUUUGCAGCUCUGUUCCUCAAGAUUCAGAAUGUGGCUGAGAAACCGCGGGAGCACAGUGGUACGUCGCACCACCAGAGCCCUAGUCAGCCUGGAGGGGACACGGGCCCCAGAGGCCAAGCACACACCCAAUCUUGGAGUCAGAUUUCUGCUGAGAAAUUUGUCUACUGAAAAGGACAAUCUAAGUCUCCAUUCUGACAAGAGGAGAUCUGUUUGUGCUCUUCAAGGGGAAAGAAGGGCUGAGCGUAACAUUCAGUUCCAUGCCUUAUCAACAAGCAGAAAAAGCCUCGCCACCUGGUGUGGACUAAUCCUAUUCAGAGCACAACUGUGUUCUGGAUCUGGUGAAAGAGACAUGCAACAGAAUAGCACACACCACACGGAGUCAAGGCAGAUGAUUCUGCUUUCACUUGAGAUGUCUGCUGUCCGAUGACUGGCAAAGGCUGGAUGCCCCGGCCCACCUCCGUUCCAGAGUCUCGGCUUCCCUCCUGCACUUGCCCCUUUCCAGAGCUGCACCCUCCUUCCUCUUCUUCUCCAUCCACCUGCAGAGGAAUGACCUGAUACGGCUUGAGGUCAGAGGCGGGGGCUGAGUCAGGAAACCUAGGGCCUCCCCAGCCUCUGUCACCUAGCCUUGGCAUGCCGACUGGCAAAUCACCACUCCUCUUGCCUUUCUGGGCCUCAGUGUCCCCAUCUGGAAAAUGGGGGGAGAAGAGAAGAUUUCAGGAUGGCCAAACUCAUUCCCUCCCAACUCCAUGAGGAGGGCGAUGCAGGAGAGCGAGACCAAGAAAUGCAAAGAGUGUGGGUUCCAGGAAGCCUAAGUGGGGCGGAAAACUGAAGCCCGGUCUGCAGGGCCUCUGGAAAAGAUGACGUCAUUCCCAUAGUACAGGUGAGAAGGAGAGAGAGAUUUACCUGGAAUGGGCCCCUAGACUGUGGCACGGGCCCUGCCUGAACCUUGACAAGCGAAACGAGGUUGGGUGACUUGGAGGUUCUGCAGAGCCUUGCUCAACACUUGCCUCAGCAUGUACCAUGUUUGGCCAGAUGUGCCUGCAGCUCUGAGCGCCUGUGCUCCUGAGAUCUGCUCUUUCCUGGAGCCCGCAAACAAGAGUAGCAUCUUUCACGGUCCUUGGCCCUGAGCCUGGCAUCUGUGUGUGCCAAGAAGCAAGAGGCCCAAUCCCACUGGGUUGUAAUGGGGUGUCCCUGCACGUUCUGUAGUCCUGCUGUUCUCAGGGGCUGGAGUGACCAGAAGGUGGGAGAAGGGUAGAGGGAUGUCCCAGGGCUUUCCUGAGUUUGGCUGCUAAGUAGGGAGGAUUACGGACAUGCCGCCUGCUUGGUGAGUGGAAUCAUGACCUGCCAUUGACAUGAGGAGGGUAGUGAGGAGCAGGUGAUAAAGAGAACAAUGAGGGGGACACAGUAUGCAAGUCCAGAGUGGUCCACAUGAGACAGGGCCCUUGGAGCCACUGGGUCCUGCACAGCCCACCCAGCGGUAGGAUGACAGACACUGCUGCCAAGGGAUCAUGCCUGGGGGCUUGCCCUGUCUACUGGGGGUGAUUGUCCGGCCUCCUGCACACAUGCAGGCUGGGGUGGGGGCAUCCACCAAGUGCACCAAGGAAGUGGUCCAAGUGCCUCAUUGUCCUCUCCUAUAAGGAGCGCUGGUCCCUCCUGACUCCAGUGCAGGCAACUUUAUUCCUGAGGAAGAAUCUAUCUUACGGUUUUAUGUUCAUGUUUUAUGUUUAUGGCUUUUCAGAUUCAUGUUCUGAGUGAAGAGGGAUCGAGCCCACAUUUAAGGUGAUCAACUAGCCAACAGGUUCCAGGGAGCAGCUAACUCUCUGUGGCCAGAAGGGCAGGUGAAAUUAGAAUCCUGGGAAGAGGCUUGCAGGAUCAUCUGACGGAAGGGUCCUCCGAUGGAAGGGUCAUCUGACCACCAUCUCAGCUGCCCUGCAGAUCCCCAUAAAGCCACCACUCUUGCCCCAACUCCAGAAGAAAAGUGUUGGGACCAAUAAUCACCAUCAUAUUCUUUCCACUUUGAGGCAUUAAUUACUCAAGUGGGAAUUACAGUCCACAGUCUCACUGCCACAUCUGUGGGCCUGCUAUCUGGUCCCAGGUGAUAUAGGGGAAGCGAUUCUCUGUUUUACCUGGGAGUGUUAGACCUCAGCCCAGUCCUUUGCCCACUUGUGGAUGCCCAGUGGCCAGCCCACUGGUCUUCCUGCCCCAGCCCCAAUCCAGCCCCAGGGAGGCAGUGGUGCCAGCCUCCUGCCCGCACCUGCUUAGAGACUUUGAGCCACGUCUUUUUGAGCCGGAAGAUUGCACUGCGGUUCAUGGACGAGGUGAUCUCCAGCACGGCAUUGUAGUUGUGGAGGCAGCGGCAUAUGUCAGCCACGGCCACCCACUUCUCGAUGGUGCUCACCCUGGCGUUGAUGUCCUCAUUGCGGAUGAUUUCUGAAGCAAUCAAGUUACUGAUCUUUAAGCCAAUGCAAUAAGACAGGGAAAAAGAGGAGUAAGUAUUGCAAAGAUGAUAAAUGAUCACUAUUUGCAGAUAUGAUUGCCUGUUUGAAAAUACAAGAAGGAAUUGGAAAACUACGAGAACAACUAACAGAGCUUGCUAGGGUUGCUGGCUAAAGGUUCAAUAUACAAAAA